rnacentral:RNase_P_RNA from 2 species
GAGAGUAAGCGAGGUGGUUGCGGAUUGGCAAAAUUUGCCAAUCUGAGGAAAGUCCGGACUCCCGAAAGACCAAACUUGCUGGGUAACGCCCAGUGUGCGCAAGCGCGAGGAUAGUGCCACAGAAACAUACCGCCAAUUAGUCAUUUGUCAUUUGUCAUUUGUUUUUUACAAAGGACAAAGGACAAAAUUGGUAAGGGUGCAAAGGUGCGGUAAGAGCGCACCAGCAGCAUCGAGAGGUGCUGGCUCGGUAAACCCCGGUUGGGAGCAAGGUCGAAGGGACUACGGUUGGUCUUUUACCAGUCCCGCUGCGAGAGAACCGCUUGAGGUGUCUGGUAACAGACAUCCCAGAUAGAUAACCGCCCGUGCAACAGUUAGCCGAUCGCUGUAAGCUAAGCUAUUGAUUGUACGAACAGAAUCCGGCUUACGUCUUACUUUCUCCU